rnacentral:Y_RNA from 1 species
GGCGGGUCUGAAGGAAGUGAGUUAUCACAAUUGACUGGUCACAAUCAGUUACAGAUUGAACUCCUGUUCUAUACUCACCCCCCCUCCCCUUCUCAGUACUGCACUUAACUAGUUGUUA